AGCAAAACUGCAAUAAACCAGUACAGUUUAUUCCAGUCUUUUCUUCUCCCACAAAAGCAAAAUAAGCUCUACCAGCAAAAGCUCAGUGCUGCUUGUGAUUACAUCUACACCUGGGGCUUUCAUGAGCCCGGGAAUGAUAAUCACAAAUCGUGCUUCACUGCAUCCCUAACCAACUGCAAUGCUGGGAAAAGCUUGAAGGAUCAUGCAGAUCAGUGCCACAGAUAGGGAGCUCAGAGCACAGUCAUUAGCAGAAUCCUGAUGUCCUCAGAUCUUUUCAAAUGCAAAAUUUCAGUGAUGACUGGUUCACAAUGGACUGGUAUUUGCUGAGGGUUUUAGGACUAAACAUACUGCAAAUGUUUACACUGAAUGCUACUGAUCAGGAUUAAUAGAUUUACCAGCUGAAUGAGAUUUGUGGACCUUCAGGAGAAGGGUGUCCCAGAUUAUGUCCUCCUCGAGGAAUUGGGAGCCUCAGCCAUUGCUUAGGUACUAUCUGCUCUUUUCAGUGGAUUAUGAGAGAAAAGCUAAAAUGCUGGAGAAGACUGUAUAUCCUAUAUCUGCGGUUGUCCCUCAAAGAUUUGUUUAUGUGGGAAAACUGUACCGAAGAGGGCUCAAUAUGAAUUUACAUCAUAAUCGUAUCUGUGGAAUGGAUCUCAGUCUGUCAGCACCCAGAGACCUUUCUGGGAUUAAACCCCAAUCCAUGCUAGGGGCAGAUCUGAAGUGUCUGCAGCCAUUACUGGAUGUUCCUGGCAGAAAUAUUACAGCAGGUCAUGAACAGGUAGCUGUUUGCUAGUGCCUCUCCAUAGAAAUGAGAACAACUUCAACAGUGGGUUUUGCAACAAAGGGGCUGUCAUACACCUAUGUCCUGAUGCAGAGUUUGUAAGUGUAAGUGACAGGGUUGGCUGCUAGGUCAGCCUCAAAGAAGCUGAGGCCUCAACAGUUGUAACUAUCAGGUAAUUUGGCCAAGUCCUAAGAUGUAGCUUACUCACUGUAUUCUCUUUAAAAUUAGGAGAAUUGCAGCCUGGUCAUCAUAUUUGGUCUUCUACCACUGGGGAUGAGCUCUGCAGCACCACUUUUACUUUAGCAGUUUACCACGAUGCAUUUCUGUGUAUGGUCUGCUUCUCUUCUGGAAUUGCCAAAAUUCUCAUGGAAUCUUGUCGUCUAAGUCAUUCUAUUAGCAACUGAGAACAGUGAUUGGUCCCUUUUUAUGAUUAUUGUUCACUUGCACUGUCACUUUAUUUGUUCAAAUGUUUAGAAAACAGUCUUUAAGAUACUUUUAGUAAUAUUUGUCUUUUAGAUAUUCUUAGCAGAGGACAAAAUUUGAGUUUCAUAAACUAGUAAUAAUUCUAUUAAAUAUGUGUCCAUCUAUAAAAAUUUGACAUAAUUUUAUAGUGUUUCCUGAGGAUACAUUUUAAUUUCAGAAUAUAAAGGUCAAUUUACAUAUUUUACCUUUUGUACUGAUCCUGACAACAUAGACAACUGGAUGUGAAUUCUGAGCUUUCAACCUAUUAAAGAAAAAACUCUUAAAUCCUUUGAAGUCUGCAA